GUUGAUCUCUCGAUCAAGGACUCUGCCUUGUUCUACAAGUUGUCAAUUGUAAUAUAGAAAUCAAUGGUUCAUGAUCGUUUCUGAGAAAUUCCAUGGCUCUACCUCUCGGCAAGCUCACUAUCCUCGUUGGUGCUGGCAUUGUUGGGUCAGUACUUGCUAAGGAAGGACGAUUGCCAGAUGUCUCCGAUUUUUUCUCCGGCGCAUUUAAGAUUGCCUUGAGGCAAAUUCGACAAGAUAAAUCAACCAGUUCAACUCCAAAGCCACGCAAUGAUUCAUUGCUGCAGCAGGUUAAUAGCUUACGGCAGGAACUGCAACUCUUGGCUUCAAAUAGAUCUGUUACAAUUGUGACAUCAAGUGGAUCAGGUUCUAGCAGAUAUACUAUAAUCAUUGUUGUUG
rnacentral:misc_RNA from 1 species